CCUGACCACACCGUGUUCCUCCACCCGCUCCAGCCCCUACACGUUUUACCUGUCCAGGAAUGAAGUAGGCGGUGCCCUGCGGGGAGCUGGGGAAGGCUAGCGGCUGCUGGGGGAUCAUCAUCAUCUGGGAGCCGGGUCCCGCCUGGUACACGUGGGUGGGGGCCACGGGCCGCGGGGCGCUGCUGGGGGGCAGGCCCCGGGGCCCGGCCCCCGAGGGCAGGCCUGACCUGUUGGUGUAGUAUGGCUGGACAGGGGCGACAUGAUCCACACGGAGCAGGAGGGGAGAGAGGAAUGACAUGGGGGAGGGGUGGGGAAGAGGAGUAGUGAGAAACCACACGGGGAGCCACCGGUCACACACGUCCUCCGCCUGGCCCUGUGAAGGUGCAGAGAGGGCCCGACGGAGCACACUGGCCCCUGAGGUUAAAGCGGCCCAGCACUACGGUCUAUUCACUGCAUCUCAUUGACAUGCUGCUGCCUCACUGCCAACCAGCAGAGGGCCACACACACACACACACACACACACACACACACACACACACACACACACACACACACACACACACACACACACACACACACACACACACACACACACACACACACACACACACACACAAAAUAAUGAGCGGUAUUACCUGUAGCGACCUGAACCCUCCCUUGAGCAGCACAAACACAGGGCAACACACAGACAGGUCACAUGGAAGCAAGAGCAGGAGGGGAAAGGAGAAGAUAGAAUGCACCACAAUCAGUGAGGAAGCAUCCCAACACAGUGAGUGAGUGAAGGCCUCGAUAUACUUCAAACUAAACCAGCGCAUACGCACAGAGCUAAGGCACAACUCGGGCGUGGAUCAGCGCACUAGAGGGGACCCUGACUCUGGUUUAAUCAGGGUACCAAAAACCGCUUUUUCAAGGGUCUAAAACUUGAUAAUAUCUCUUUGAUGAUCCUCAACAUAGUGGUCUAUGCCUUGUUAUCACCGUUACUGAAAUAAGUCCCUAAUAUGGGGAGAAUAGGUGCACUCUGCUUCAGAAACAGCUAGCCUUCUUUUCGUGACGUUGAAGUGCUGAGGGACAUGGGCGGCGAGACGCGUGUGGACAGGAAGAGCUCUGUCCGAGCUGGGGUUGACUUUGGGUCAGAGAGAAGCUACACGGCCGUUGUGGAUUUGUCGAGCUGGUUCAGCCGUUAAGAGGGCUGUUUGCGUGUCACAGAGGGUUAUGCUCUAGAUCAGGGGUUCCCAACCUUUUUUGUUUUCCAAGGAUCAGCAUUGGAGGACAGGUAGUCAAUUUGAAUGCCUUAAUUUUAAGACGCAUAAUUUUUAAACAAAUUAUGUUGCUGUUUUUCAACAGCCACAGCUGUUGAAACGGGAUACCCGCUGUGACUGUCCGGGGACCGGGGGUUUGGAAUCACUGGUCAGGCAGACCGCUAGGACGUGUGGACGGUGACGCUGAGCAGCGGUUUAUUUUGACGACGGCGUCUGAGUUAGGGUAAAGCUUUUCGGACACUUGUAGUAAAACGCUGCUCUCCUUCCUAGAACUCUGUUCUAAUUCCAACAGGGGCUUUACUUGCACUUUGAACAAACAACCCCUUAGUCAGUGACAGUGGAGUAACCAAUUUCUAUUGAUUUCAAGUAUAUCGGGGCCUUGGGUGAAUUGACAUGCAGCAUGCUUAGAUUACCUACGGACCCACCCUCCCCCCACAGUAGACUUUGGUCGCCAUGUUUUCAGAUGAAUAACUUGGCUCAAAAUGACAGGGCAAGGGUUUUGGAGGACGGUAGACAUUUGGGGGGGGAAAUGUGUGUGUUUUGCAGUGUGGUUUCGCCAGACAGGACCGCUGUCUGAUUCUGGCAGCAAAACAUAAUAGUAUGCCAGUAUAAGUGUUCUCUAAACAAGAACAUUAAAAAAAGGAACCAAAAGAUGCAUUGUGGGGGAGGGGAGAACGGAGUUGAAGGCGCCGGGAUCGGCUCUCACACCCACUGUUGGGUGUUGACAGAGAUCAUUUGCCAUGAUUGCUGUGGGCCGACAACUGCCUCGGCCAAUCGCAAGAAACCUGGUUUGCUUGUGCCAGAGAGGAAUGAAGAACCGGUAGCAAAAUAUAUUUUGAAUACUUUCCAGAUCAGGGAUCAAACUUCCAAUGAGAGAUGGAGGAGUACAGGUCAGACCAGAGGUCAGACCACAGGGCACACAGCAGGUCAGACCACAGGUCACACCAGAGGUCAGACCACAGGUCACCCCACAGGUCACACCAGAGGUCAGACCACAGGUCACCCCACAGGUCACACCAGAGGUCAGACCACAGGUUACACCACAGGUCACACCAGAGGUCAGACCACAGAACACACCUGAGGUCAGACCACAGGUCACACCAGAGGUCAGACCAGUCACACCAGAGGUCAGACCACAGGUCACACCAGAGGUCAGACCACAGGUCACACCAGAGGUCAGACCACAGGUUACAUCAGAGGUCAGACCACAGGUAAAACCAAGGACAGACCAGAGGACACAUCAAGGUCAGACCCCAGGUCGGACACCAUUUCAGACCAGAGCUCAGACACAGGUCAGACCACAGUUCAGACCCCGCACACUGUUGCGUCCUGCACUUCUCCCGCUCUAAUCUGAGAAUCCUAUUGCUGAAUGCCCAAGAGAGCUGGCACCAGGACUAUCACACACAAUGUUGGCCUUGUGUCAACAGCCAUACUUAGCAAAAUGAGGAAACCCCACUUUCCAGAGCCUGUGUCUCUACCGUGUCGUGCACAGUCUAGACAAAUGAUUAUCAACAAGUUCAGGGCAACCCGCUGGCUCAGAGCUAUGAUCCACGCCUCGCCGUUCUAUAUUUGAACCAAGAUUGUCACAUUUUCUUUGUGUGUAACCAAAUGAAGUGGCUUGGCACCAAUAGUAUUGGGGCACCCAGUGUCUACACAAAACCACCAACCACUCCAUGCUGUGAGGUUCCUUGUAGAAUAUAGCACUGCUGGUGCCGACUAUACAACAUGCCAUUAAAGUUGAAUGAGGGCAUUACAUAUUGUUUGGCAAGCAAAAAGUAAUGAAGGGGGAAUAAAACACGUUAAAAGGAAAGGUUUUAGUGUGUAGUUUAAGACACCGUCUAUAAAGGGAAAAUAUAAAAGCAGAGGCAUACUUUCAGGUGUCUGCCCAUGAGGUAUAUAAAAAAUUAAAUGAUACUUAAUUUGACCUGGCAAUGCCAAGCAAAUGAUGAAACUGAUCAAUAUUUACCAUCACUGCCCUCACAGAUCUAUUAAAAGCAUCCUAGAUAUCGACAGGAAUGCAAAACUGAAUGACCGUGAGCACACCCCUCCCAAAAUGUGUGUGGGGCCCCGCCACAGCCACCUACGACAUGCAGUGAAGAAGGAAAGAAGAAUAGGGGUAGGUUGAGUGUGU
ensembl:lncRNA